AUUGAACGCUGGCGGCAUGCUUUACACAUGCAAGUCGAACGGCAGCGCGGGCGUCGGCCUGGCGGCGAGGGGCGAACGGGUGAGUAAUGCAUCGGAACGUGCCCAUUAGUGGGGGAUAGCCCGGCGAAAGCCGGACUAAUACCGCAUACGACCUGACGGUGAAAGCGGGGGACCGAAAGGCCCCGCGCUAUUGGAGCGGCCGAUGUCGGAUUAGCUAGUUGGUGGGGUAAAGGCUUACCAAGGCGACGAUCCGUAGCUGGUCUGAGAGGACGACCAGCCACACUGGGACUGAGACACGGCCCAGACUCCUACGGGAGGCAGCAGUGGGGAAUUUUGGACAAUGGGGGCAAGCCUGAUCCAGCCAUGCCGCGUGCGGGAAGAAGGCCUUCGGGUUGUAAACCGCUUUUGUUCGGGAAGAAAUCCUCUGGGCUAAUACCCCGGGGGGAUGACGGUACCGGAAGAAUAAGCACCGGCUAACUACGUG
rnacentral:rRNA from 1 species